UACGUAGGGUGCGAGCGUUAAUCGGAAUUACUGGGCGUAAAGCGUGCGUAGGCGGUUCGUUAAGUCAGCUGUGAAAGCCCCGGGCUCAACCUGGGAAUUGCGAUGGAGACUGCAAGGCUAGAAUCUGGCAGAGGGGGGUAGAAUUCCACGUGUGAGCAGUGAAAUGCGUAGAGAUGUGGAGGAACACCGAUGGCGAAGGCA
rnacentral:rRNA from 1 species